rnacentral:rRNA from 1 species
UACGUAGGGUGCGAGCGUUGUCCGGAAUUAUUGGGCGUAAAGAGCUUGUAGGCGGUUUGUCGCGUCUGCUGUGAAAAUCCGGGGCUCAACCCCGGACUUGCAGUGGGUACGGGCAGGCUAGAGUGUGGUAGGGGAGACUGGAAUUCCUGGUGUAGCGGUGAAAUGCGCAGAUAUCAGGAAGAACACCCGUGGCUAAGGCGGCUCUCUAGUACGGUACUGACGCUGAGACGCGAAAGCGUGGGGAGCGAACAGG